rnacentral:lncRNA from 10 species
CAGAGGGGAAGGAUCUGAGUGAUGGUUAAGGGACCCCCUGAUGCAAAGGCCUCCAGGCAAGAAAGUUUUUUUUCCGAACCAAAGAGACACUGAGGAACUAUAGGAAUGUUGCUAGCCAGGGGGUUUGGGCCAAAGAGGCUGGGGAGGUACCGGAGGGGAAGCUUUGAGAUACUUCUGUGCCUGUGCUCUGUUCCUCUUUAGUCUCAUCACCUUGCACUAUGACCUUAGGCAAGACAGGUCAUAAGACAGCCCCCACCACCCAGGCCCCUUUGAGAGGGUCUUGCCGCAUACCCUGGAGGAAGGAACACUGCACAGAGAGGCCAAGAAGAAUCUACACAGAUGGGUCUUGGUGGGACGAGAGACUGAGAAAAGAAAUAAGACACCGAGACAAAGUAUGGAGAAAGAACAGUGGGCCCAGGAGACCGGCGCUCAGCAUACGGAGGACCUGCUCUGGCACUGGUCUCUGAGUUCCCUCAGUAUUUAUUGAUUACUAUUUUCACUAUCUCAGCAAGAAGAAUGCGAUAGGAGAGCGGGCUGAUAGUGAGGAGAAGGUCAGCAAGAAAACAUGUGAGCAAAGGAAUCUGAGUCACAAAUAAGUUCAAGGGAAGGUACUAUGCCUGGAUGUGCACACAGGCCAGAUUUAUGCUUCUCUCCACCCAAACAUCUCAGUGGAGAAAAGAAUAACAAAGCAGCAUUGCUGCCAACAUGUCUCGCCUCCCGCCACGGCGCGGUUUUUCUCCUGUCUCAGAAUUGAACAAAUGUAUAAUCGGGUUUUAUACCGAGACGUUCAGUUUCAGGGGCAGGCAGGAGACAGAGGCCUUCCUCUUAUCUCAACUUCAAGAGGCCUUCCUCUUUUACUAAUCCUCCUCAGCACAGACCCCUCGCGGGUGUCGGGCUGGGGGACGGUCAGGUCUUUCCCAUCCCACGAGGCCAUAUCUCAGGCUGUCACAUGGGGAGAAACCUUGGACAAUACCAGGCUUUCCAGGGCAGAGGUCCCUGCGGCUUUCCGCAGUGUAUUGUGCCCCUGGUUUAUCGAGAAUGGAGAAUGGCGAUGACUUUUACCAAGCAUACUGCCUGUAAACAUUUUGUUAACAAGGCACAUCCUGCACAGCCCUAGAUCCCUUAAACCUUGAUUCCAUACAACACAUGUUUCUGUGAGCUCAAGGUUGGGGCAAAGUUACAGAUUAACAGCAUCUCAGGGCAAAGCAAUUGUUCAGGGUACAGGUCAAAAUGGAGUUUCUUAUGUCUCCCUUUUCUACAUGGACACAAUAACAGUCUGAUCUCUCUUUUCCCUACAUACACGGCCAUGUACACUUCGUUGAACCUAAGCAUAAAAAUGGACAGUUUCCUCUGUAUCUGUGGCUCUUCAUUCUGAAGGCUCCCAUGUCACAAAAAAACUAUGAUCAAAUAAAUGUAUAUGCUUUUUCUCCUAUUAAAAAAAAUACAGACAUAUUCAGGGUUAGGCAUAGUGGCUCAUGCCUGAAAUCCUAGCACUUUGGAAGGCUAAGGUGGAAGGAUCCCUUGAGCUCAGGGGUAUGAGACCAGCCUAGGAAACAAAGUGAGACCCCAUCUUGUUAAAAAAUAAUAACAGGCUGGG